AUUGAACGCUGGCGGCAUGCCUUACACAUGCAAGUCGAGCGGUAACAGGUCUUCGGAUGCUGACGAGUGGCGAACGGGUGAGUAAUACAUCGGAACGUGCCUAGUAGUGGGGGAUAACUACUCGAAAGAGUGGCUAAUACCGCAUGAGAUCUACGGAUGAAAGCAGGGGAGCGCAAGACCUUGUGCUACUAGAGCGGCCGAUGGCAGAUUAGGUAGUUGGUGGGAUAAAAGCUUACCAAGCCGACGAUCUGUAGCUGGUCUGAGAGGACGAUCAGCCACACUGGGACUGAGACACGGCCCAGACUCCUACGGGAGGCAGCAGUGGGGAAUUUUGGACAAUGGGCGCAAGCCUGAUCCAGCAAUGCCGCGUGCAGGAUGAAGGCCUUCGGGUUGUAAACUGCUUUUGUACGGAACGAAAAGCCCCGGGUUAAUACCCUGGGGUCAUGACGGUACCGUAAGAAUAAGCACCGGCUAACUACGUGCCAGCCGCCGCCGUAA
rnacentral:rRNA from 1 species